CCCAAGGCCGGGCCCAAACGGGAGAACACUACAAGACAACCAUCAAAGGGAAUGACAGACAAGCAACUGACUCAACACUAAUGCAGCUAGCUAAAGACAAGGUGGUCCUAACACAAGGAAAAACACAAUUUCACGUGGGUAAGCAGCACAGCUUUGAAUACCAGCACCCACUAUCUCAAAGAAAACAAAAGACAAUAAUGGUAGUGGAGGGGAGUUGGGUUUGGUACCCCACCUGUUGGGUUUCCCACCCCACUUUAUUGAAUACGGGAUUUAAAGUUCCGUAUUUAAUAUGAAUAAUACGGAACUUAAAAAACCGUACUGUAUUUGAGCAUAUGUGACACAUUUUCAACCAUUCAUUGCAUAUUAAAAAAAUACGGAAUAUUAAAUUCCGUAUUGAAUACGGAACUUUAAAUCCCGUAUUGAAUAAAGUGGGGUGGGAAACCCAAUAGGUGGGGUACCAAACUCAACUCCCGUAGUGGAGCAUAGCCAAAGAAAACGCAUCUCUAGCUCCUAAGCAAGAGAGAAGAGCGACUGAAGAUGGAAAUUUGAGGCUGCACAUCAAGGGACACCGUCUCUACCAGCAAGGAGAGGAAGAAUCUUGUCUGCCAUAAUUGCUUGAGUAGAAGACCAAACCGUUAGAACAAGAUCAAACAAGGGUGUUUAAACUCCAUCAGAACAAGCAAGAUCUUGGGAAACCAUGUAGCGAGGCAGCGACUUGAGCAUCUUCAACCAGAGCCCUUCUAAGCUCCUGAGGGGGCUUAAACAUCCAAUCUUCCGGCAAGAGGUUCUUCAUGCACAGCUUGGCUAUUAGGACAGCCAAGGUUUUAGGCUAGAGAGAGGCCUUCUCUUAUCGCACUUGCCUCAGAAGUCAAGGGAGAAGAGGAGAAAAUCUUUGCUUGCGAGCCAGCCACAAUAGAAGAAUAUUUAUCCCGGAUCAGGACCCCAACAGUAGCCUGAGGUUUAGCCAAGUCGAUGGCAGCAAGAGUUCUGGCAAUUUGUUGUAUGGCAAAAAUAGGGUUGGGGAAAAUAUUGUUAAACACAGCAUUAUUUCUUCCCCUCCAAAUGGACCAGAGGACAGAUGCAAGAGUUGAGAAGUCCCUACUGAAAUCCAGAGAGAAGGCUUGCAGAGAGGUAAUCUUGUGUUGGAGCCAGACAUCAAAAGACCCAAGACCAAGAGGGGAGACCACCCAUUGGAGCGAAGAGCCAAACCACACGGCUCGUGUCCAGGGGCAAAUGAAGAAUAAAUGCUCUACUGUUUCCUGAUCUGCGCUACAAACAGGAUACUGUCCUGAAGGUUGUUUGUUCGUGCCCUAUUAUUCCACAUCUGAAGCAUAACCCUUGGAGCCUUUCAUACUUCACUGAAACCCAAGCUUUUGGCAAGCUCAACCUUGGAACCCAGAAGCCUGUGACCAGUGCUCUUUCCACAUUCAGAAGGACCCUAGCUCUGUUAAAAGGCCGCAAAAGACACCCUUCAACCUUGGGAUCUUCAAUCUCUAGGAGCUCACCCACUACCGCAACAAGCUUUUUCACAUUCGCAUCAGUCAUAAACUCCAUGGGUAUACCGUGGAGUUGAAUCCAAAAAGGAACAAGGUUGAACCUCACUUGAGAAGCAGAGAUUUGGGGAUCCCAAAAUUGUAAACUUAAGAGACUUCCCAUAAUGUUCCAUGGGCCAUCAGCCAUGAUUUUGUUGACUCCUUCAGCUGUAGGGAAGGUAAAAAUAAAGGUGUUCUGAUUCAGAUCACCAACUUGUAACCCUUGUGGGUUCCCCCAAGAUUUAACUAUAGUUUGUUUAGCUGCAAGCUUAUUGAGAAGCUUAUUAGUGAUGACUCUCCCCACCAGCAUCCUUCUCGCCAGAUCUGCAUUCGAGGAGGGAUCUGGUUCCAAGGUAAUGGUUAACCCAUCUAGAUCUGGGUCAACUUCCAUCGUCUGGUCUUGUUCAGUCAUUGGCACACACUUACUACUAAAGUAUUCCACAAGAGGAAAAAGAUCCAGCUAAACUGGAAGAGGACUCUUCUUAGAUUAACUUUCCUCUAGAUGAGCCUUAGCAGAGAAAGGAUCUAAAAGAGAGACUUUUUUUUUAUGUUGAUUUAUUAUGAGAUACUCAGUCAAAUUUUAAACAUGCAAACCGCAAGUAACCGGUUUUUGAAGUCCAA